rnacentral:rRNA from 1 species
AGAGAGUGCGAGCGUUAAUCGGAAUUACUGGGCGUAAAGCGCGCGUAGGUGGAUGUUUAAGUCGGAUGUGAAAGCCCUGGGCUCAACCUAGGAACUGCACUCGAUACUGGGCAUCUAGAGUAUGGUAGAGGGAAGUGGAAUUUCCGGUGUAGCGGUGAAAUGCGUAGAUAUCGGAAAGAACACCAGUGGCGAAGGCGGCUUCCUGGACCAAUACUGACACUGAGGUGCGAAAGCGUGGGGGAGCAAACAGGAUUAGAGACCCUGGUAGUCCACGCCGUCAACGAUGAGAACUAGCUGUUGGGGGGGAUACCCCCCUUAAGUAGCGAAGCUAACGCGUUAAGUUCUCCGCCUGGGGAUACGGCCGCAAGGUUA